GCCUGUUUGCAUCUUCAAAUAGCUCGGUCAGUAGAGCAUGAGACUCUAAAUCUCAGGGGUGUGGGGUUGAGCCCCACAUUGGGCA